UCGGAAGGUGCGGCUGGAUCACCUCCUUUCUAAGGAUGAGAAGCUGAUACGUCAGCUUCUCACACAAGGAAAAGAAAAGGUCGUUGAUAUUAAAAAUUAAGGCAUAAAAACAUAACAACUAAACAAAAAUUGACUAUUGCAUUAUAUACAUGGGGGUAUAGUGACGAUCCUAACACGAUAAGCGAAUGAAAUGAGCGAAUCGAUGUAGGUCGGGAUACUUUUUACGAAGUAAAAAGUACUCAGGAACUGAGCCUUAAAACGAAGAAGGUCACUAAAACCUAAACAAGUUUAAUUAUAAUAUAAUAUACAUGGGGAUAUAGCUCAGCUGGGAGAGCACCUGCCUUGCACGCAGGGGGUCAAGAGUUCGAAUCUCUUUAUCUCCACCACAAACAAACCCAUUCCAAUGAGUUUGUUAAAACGAACCAACAAAACUAAAUAGCAAAAAAUAUUUCCAGUCAAGAAAGAAA
rnacentral:tRNA from 1 species